AUUGAACGCUGGCGGCAGGCCUAACACAUGCAAGUCGAACGGUAACAGGAAGCAGCUUGCUGCUUUGCUGACGAGUGGCGGACGGGUGAGUAAUGUCUGGGAAACUGCCUGAUGGAGGGGGAUAACUACUGGAAACGGUAGCUAAUACCGCAUAACGUCGCAAGACCAAAGAGGGGGACCUUCGGGCCUCUUGCCAUCGGAUGUGCCCAGAUGGGAUUAGCUAGUAGGUGGGGUAACGGCUCACCUAGGCGACGAUCCCUAGCUGGUCUGAGAGGAUGACCAGCCACACUGGAACUGAGACACGGUCCAGACUCCUACGGGAGGCAGCAGUGGGGAAUAUUGCACAAUGGGCGCAAGCCUGAUGCAGCCAUGCCGCGUGUAUGAAGAAGGCCUUCGGGUUGUGAAGUACUUUCAGCGGGGAGGAAGGGAGUAAAGUUAAUACCUUUGCUCAUUGACGUUACCCGCAGAAGAAGCACCGGCUAACUCCGUG
rnacentral:rRNA from 1 species